GAAAGGCCCUUCGGGGUGCUCGAGUGGCGAACGGGUGAGUAACACGUGGGUGAUCUGCCCUGCACUUUGGGAUAAGCCUGGGAAACUGGGUCUAAUACCGAAUAGGACUCCGGCCUUCAUGGGUUGGGGUGGAAAGCUUUUGCGGUGUGGGAUGGGCCCGCGGCCUAUCAGCUUGUUGGUGGGGUAAUGGCCUACCAAGGCGACGACGGGUAGCCGGCCUGAGAGGGUGACCGGCCACACUGGGACUGAGAUACGGCCCAGACUCCUACGGGAGGCAGCAGUGGGGAAUAUUGCACAAUGGGCGCAAGCCUGAUGCAGCGACGCCGCGUGAGGGAUGACGGCCUUCGGGUUGUAAACCUCUUUCAGCACAGACGAAGCGCAAGUGACGGUAUGUGCAGAAGAAGGACCGGCCAACUACGUGCCAGCAGCCGCGGUAAUACGUAGGGUCCGAGCGUUGUCCGGAAUUACUGGGCGUAAAGAGCUCGUAGGUGGUUUGUCGCGUUGUUCGUGAAAACUCACAGCUUAACUGUGGGCGUGCGGGCGAUACGGGCAGACUGGAGUACUGCAGGGGAGACUGGAAUUCCUGGUGUAGCGGUGGAAUGCGCAGAUAUCAGGAGGAACACCGGUGGCGAAGGCGGGUCUCUGGGCAGUAACUGACGCUGAGGAGCGAAAGCGUGGGGAGCGAACAGGAUUAGAUACCCUGGUAGUCCACGCCGUAAACGGUGGGUACUAGGUGUGGGUUUCCUUCCUUGGGAUCCGUGCCGUAGCUAACGCAUUAAGUACCCCGCCUGGGGAGUACGGCCGCAAGGCUAAAACUCAAAGGAAUUGACGGGGGCCCGCACAAGCGGCGGAGCAUGUGGAUUAAUUCGAUGCAACGCGAAGAACCUUACCUGGGUUUGACAUGCACAGGACGCCGUAGAGAUAUGUUCCCUUGUGGCCUGUGUGCAGGUGGUGCAUGGCUGUCGUCAGCUCGUGUCGUGAGAUGUUGGGUUAAGUCCCGCAACGAGCGCAACCCUUGUCCUAUGUUGCCAGCGGGUUAUGCCGGGGACUCGUAGGAGACUGCCGGGGUCAACUCGGAGGAAGGUGGGGAUGACGUCAAGUCAUCAUGCCCCUUAUGUCCAGGGCUUCACACAUGCUACAAUGGCCGGUACAAAGGGCUGCGAUGCCGUGAGGUGGAGCGAAUCCUUGUAAAGCCGGUCUCAGUUCGGAUCGGGGUCUGCAACUCGACCCCGUGAAGUCGGAGUCGCUAGUAAUCGCAGAUCAGCAACGCUGCGGUGAAUACGUUCCCGGGCCUUGUACACACCGCCCGUCACGUCAUGAAAGUCGGUAACACCCGAAGCCGGUGGCCUAACCCCUUGUGGGAGGGAGCCGUCGAA
rnacentral:rRNA from 1 species